rnacentral:rRNA from 1 species
CCUACGGGUGGCAGCAGUGGGGAAUAUUGCACAAUGGGCGCAAGCCUGAUGCAGCCAUGCCGCGUGUGUGAAGAAGGCCUUCGGGUUGUAAAGCACUUUCAGCGGGGAGGAAGGCGUUAAGGUUAAUAACCUUGGCGAUUGACGUUACCCGCAGAAGAAGCACCGGCUAACUCCAUGCCAGCAGCCGCGGUAAUACGGAGGGUGCAAGCGUUAAUCGGAAUUACUGGGCGUAAAGCGCACGCAGGCGGUCUGUCAAGUCGGAUGUGAAAUCCCCGGGCUCAACCUGGGAACUGCAUUCGAAACUGGCAGGCUAGAGUCUUGUAGAGGGGGGUAGAAUUCCAGGUGUAGCGGUGAAAUGCGUAGAGAUCUGGAGGAAUACCGGUGGCGAAGGCGGCCCCCUGGACAAAGACUGACGCUCAGGUGCGAAAGCGUGGGGAGCAAACAGGAUUAGAUACCCGAGUAGUC